GCCUCAGCACUCCUACCAGGACUGGUGCAGGGGCAAUCAGAAAGGCUCUGGGUGCUGUCCCUGCCCCCAGCACCAACUCCACAGCUUCCAUGGGCUGGGAUUUAAGGCCAAUGGAAAUUGCAGGGCUGGUGCCUGCAGGAAUGGGCAGUGCAAACAGCACAGAGCCACCUGCCUCUCUCUCUAGGGUUACCAGCACUCCUGGGAAACAGGAUUUAUUACAGACUAAGAGGGAGACAUUUUUGUGGGAGUUCCUCAAUUAAACACUGGCAGACUUCGUUGACUUGCCAGAAUGCAAAAGAGGAAACACUUAUCUGAGCCAUUUCAGGGAGCCAAGAUUCAACCUGCAUUACUCUGGAGAUUUUCUCACCUCCUACAUGGGACUGUGAUGCAUAAUUCAAUCCUGGUAGUA